rnacentral:rRNA from 1 species
CACGUAGGGCGCAAGCGUUGUCCGGAAUUAUUGGGCGUAAAGAGCUCGUAGGUGGUUUGCUGCGUCCGCUGUGAAAACCCAAGGCUUAACCUUGGGCUUGCAGUGGAUACGGGCAGACUAGAGGUAGGUAGGGGAGAAUGGAAUUCCCGGUGUAGCGGUGAAAUGCGCAGAUAUCGGGAGGAACACCGGUGGCGAAGGCAGAUCUCUGGGCCGUAACUGACGCUGAGGAGCGAAAGCAUGGGGAGCGAACAGG